GACUUUGAGGUGUAAUGGUCAGUACACUCGACGCGUAUUCGAGAGGUCCAGGGUUCGAGUCCUGGCGAGGGCA
rnacentral:tRNA from 1 species